AUGGAGUGGUGAAUGACUGAGGUUGUGUGGCAACCUGAUACGCACACAAUGACGAGCUAGCAACCUUGAGGAAGUUAUCUCAGGUAUGUGAGGCUGAAUACCGGGUGACUCUCCUGCCUGUGUGUGCACAUGUUUUUGUGUUCUUUGCAGGGCGCGGCGGUUGCUGCACGGCCUACACCAGAUUCCUUGCGGUGAAAUUCAUCUUCGGGAAAGAAGGGACGGUGCGGUGCCUGAAGCAGGACAUGAAAGAAGGUUGCAACAUCACUGCAGUUUUACUUAAGUGGAAAGGCCGUCAACUGUGCGUGGACCCAACCCUCCCCAAGAUGCAAAAUCUUCCUGUAGUUAUGUGAAAAUCCCAACAGGGAGCCAGAUGCCAGGCAGGACGCCCGCACAAGAAGAAUACAAAAAUGUGACCGCACUGUUCUCAAACUGAAGAAAAAGCAUCCAUCCAAAAGAUUUUGUCGUUCAACUUGU